rnacentral:rRNA from 1 species
CAGCAGUCGCCGCGGUAAUACGUAGGGUCCGAGCGUUGUCCGGAAUUAUUGGGCGUAAAGGGCUCGUAGGCGGUUUGUUGCGUCGGGAGUGAAAACACCAGGCUUAACUUGGUGCUUGCUUUCGAUACGGGCAGACUUGAGGCAUGCAGGGGAGAACGGAAUUCCUGGUGUAGCGGUGAAAUGCGCAGAUAUCAGGAGGAACACCGGUGGCGAAGGCGGUUCUCUGGGCAUGUUCUGACGCUGAGGAGCGAAAGUGUGGGGAGCGAACAGGAUUAGAUACCCCAGUAGUCCCUGUCUCUUAUAC